rnacentral:rRNA from 1 species
UACGAAGGGGGCUAGCGUUGUUCGGAAUUACUGGGCGUAAAGCGUAUGCAGGCGGAUCGUUAAGUCGGGGGUGAAAUCCCGAGGCUCAACCUCGGAACUGCCUUCGAUACUGGCGAUCUUCGAGUCCGGGAGAGGUGAGUGGAACUCCGAGUGUAGAGGUGAAAUUCGUAGAUAUUCGGAAGAACACCAGUGGCGAAGGCGACUUACUGGACACAUAUUGACGCUGAGGUGCGAAAGCGUGGGGAGCAAACAGG